rnacentral:misc_RNA from 1 species
GAAUUUCUUCAUAGCCUUCCUCCCCUUCAGAUAAUGAUAUGACUUUGAUGGCAACCAUUUCUGAUGUCCUCAAGUCUCGAGCUUUAUAAACAGCCCCAUAUGAACCCUUCCCUAGCUCAUGAAGCAAUUCAUACUUGGUACAAGGAUCUUCCCUAGUCACACUGUCCGGUAUUGAACUCGACGACACCUUACUCCCCUGUGGCCUCAAUGUACCACCUUCCUCAUCAGAGGGCGCUCUACUGCUACGAUUCCUCUGCCUCCCUAUUCCAAUCUCCCCUGCUGCCUGCAUACUAGCCACUGCUCUGCUCAUAGUUGAUCCAGCACCUUCAUUACUUCCACUUCUAACGGUUCUCCUCACCAUAGUCCCUGAAUCAAACUCAUUAUCCUUCACUACAAACGUCGAAAACCUACCAUCCUCCUCCUCCUCCUCCUCAU